AAGACCUUACUUCAUAGGAUCAUUUCUAUAGUAAGCUCUUCACGAGAUCAUCACACUAUGUGAGAUCACCACUGGCCGCGAUGAGGAGACGUGGCGCGGUGCCCUGAGCGUGAGGCGGGCGAUGGUACAACCACCAUCAGCCCUCGAUGAUCGUUCACUCCCUCUCUGGAGGGAGCGUGGGGUACUGUCGCUGUCUGAGUGGU